CCUUCGGGGUACUCGAGCGGCGAACGGGUGAGUAACACGUGAGCAACCUGCCCCAGGCUUUGGGAUAACCCCGGGAAACCGGGGCUAAUACCGAAUAUGACCUUGCACCGCAUGGUGUUUGGUGGAAAGUUUUUCGGCUUGGGAUGGGCUCGCGGCCUAUCAGCUUGUUGGUGGGGUGAUGGCCUACCAAGGCGACGACGGGUAGCCGGCCUGAGAGGGCGACCGGCCACACUGGGACUGAGACACGGCCCAGACUCCUACGGGAGGCAGCAGUGGGGAAUAUUGCACAAUGGGCGGAAGCCUGAUGCAGCGACGCCGCGUGAGGGAUGACGGCCUUCGGGUUGUAAACCUCUUUCAGCAGGGACGAAGCGUAAGUGACGGUACCUGCAGAAGAAGCGCCGGCCAACUACGUGCCAGCAGCCGCGGUAAGACGUAGGGCGCGAGCGUUGUCCGGAUUUAUUGGGCGUAAAGAGCUCGUAGGCGGCUUGUCGCGUCGACCGUGAAAACCUGGGGCUCAACCCCAGGCCUGCGGUCGAUACGGGCAGGCUAGAGUUCGGUAGGGGAGACUGGAAUUCCUGGUGUAGCGGUGAAAUGCGCAGAUAUCAGGAGGAACACCGGUGGCGAAGGCGGGUCUCUGGGCCGAUACUGACGCUGAGGAGCGAAAGCGUGGGGAGCGAACAGGAUUAGAUACCCUGGUAGU
rnacentral:rRNA from 1 species